GUUAUCUUCUAGAUUAUUUCGUGCCGAAUUUUAAUACCGCGUUUUGACUUCGCGAUAAUUGAGGCGAUAAUUAAAACAAAUUAAGAAGCGUACUCCUCACGCGAGCAGGUGUUGCGGGUUUUACCGCGAUUGAAAUCUAAUAGAGAAAACGCAGUCACGCGGCUCUAGGGGAUGCGAUGCUUGAGGGAUGCCGCGCCGGAGGAUUCGGCUCGGGCCUAUCUGAGUCAGCUCGAAGAGACGAAGCAGACGACCAGCCAACUCUUAGGGGCUGCUGCGCCGGAGGAUCCGGCUCGGGUCAAGCGGGGAUAGCUCGAAGAAACGAAAGCAGAACGUGGC